GUUAAUGUAAUGCUUUUAAUAUAUUAAAUAUUUUCCAUUUUACCCUUUAAGAAAUUCAAAAGCUCAAAAAGUGUAACAAUUGACAGCAAAGCGUAAAGGUAUAUUUAAUGCUUUUAAUUAAGAUUUUCAAUUAAGAUUUUCAAGGUAAAAAAAGUGUAAGAGUCAAUAUUAGAUUAUAUUAACAGCUCACAUAUUCCUAUUUUCUAAUAUUAUAUUAUAUUUAAUUCUUUCUCCUAAUAUUUUGAAGGUGAAUAUAUUAAUCCUCUUUUGAUAUUUCUGGAAGUUUCCUUUUAAAUAUUUAUCUCUUCCUCUUCUUCUCUCUCUCAGUUUCUCUGCAAUUACUGUGUAUAGUUGGGAAAUGAUGAAGACAACAAAUAACAACGUCCAUUAGAUCAAUGACAAGAGAAGGCUUGCGAUGGCAGCAACCACCACCAGCACCACCGAAUUCAUCACGGCGGUCAAUAUUGUCGACAUGCAGACCUCCACCAGGCAUGUUCUAAUUCUGUUUUGGUGGAUUUGUAUUACAAAAUUCUCUCAUACCUUUAAAGGUUAAUUCUUUGAAUUGUAAAAUAUAUUUACAGUAACUGAUGUUCUUGUUUUAUUUCAAUUAUUGGUAAAGAUUUCAAAUUUUUGUUUUAA